rnacentral:rRNA from 1 species
CCUACGUGAGGCAGCAGUGAGGAAUAUUGGUCAAUGGGCGCGAGCCUGAACCAGCCAAGUCGCGUGAAGGAAGAAGGCUUUCGGGUUGUAAACUUCUUUUAAGGGGGAAGAGCAGAAGACGGUACCCCUUGAAUAAGCCACGGCUAACUACGUGCCAGCAGCCGCGGUAAUACGUAGGUGGCAAGCGUUGUCCGGAUUGACUGGGUGUAAAGGGCGUGCAGCCGGAGAGACAAGUCAGAUGUGAAAUCCACGGGCUCAACCCGUGAACUGCAUUUGAAACUGUUUCCCUUGAGUGUCGGAGAGGUAAGCGGAAUGCCGGGUGUAGCGGUGAAAUGCGUAGAUAUAAGGAAGAACACCGGUGGCGAAGGCGGAUUACUGGACGAUAACUGACGGUGAGGCGCGAAAGCGUGGGGAGCAAACAGGAUUAGAUACCCCUGUAGUC